AUGCCUGGAGAGAGAGGCAGAGAGAGAGAGACACAGAGAGAGAGAGGCAGAGAGAGAGAGACAGAGAGAGAGAGAGGCAGAGAGAGAGAGGCAGAGAGAGAGAGACACGAGAGACAAGAGAGAGAGCAGAGAGAGAGAGACACAGAGAGAGAGAGGCAGAGAGAGAGAGACACGAGAGACAAGAGAGAGAGCAGAGAGAGAGAGAGGCAGAGAGAGAGAGACACGAGAGACAAGAGAGAGAGCAGAGAGAGAGAGAGCAGAGAGAGAGAGAGCAGAGAGAGAGAGGCAGAGAGAGAGAGACACGAGAGACAAGAGAGAGAGCAGAGAGAGAGAGAGGCAGAGAGAGAGAGACACAGAGAGAGAGAGGCAGAGAGAGAGAGAGGCAGAGAGAGAGACACGAGAGACAAGAGAGAGAGCAGAGAGAGAGAGAGCAGAGAGAGAGAGACAGAGAGAGAGAGGCAGAGAGAGAGAGAGCAGAGAGAGAGAGACACAGAGAGAGAGAGGCAGAGAGAGAGAGACACGAGAGACAAGAGAGAGAGCAGAGAGAGAGAGAGCAGAGAGAGAGAGACACAGAGAGAGAGAGGCAGAGAGAGAGAGACACGAGAGACAAGAGAGAGAGCAGAGAGAGAGAGAGCAGAGAGAGAGAGACACAGAGAGAGAGAGGCAGAGAGAGAGAGAGGCAGAGAGAGAGACACGAGAGACAAGAGAGAGAGCAGAGAGAGAGAGAGCAGAGAGAGAGAGACACAGAGAGAGAGAGGCAGAGAGAGAGAGACACGAGAGACAAGAGAGAGAGCAGAGAGAGAGAGAGCAGAGAGAGAGAGACACAGAGAGAGAGAGGCAGAGAGAGAGAGAGGCAGAGAGAGAGACACGAGAGACAAGAGCGAGAGAGAGAGAAAGAGAGAUAGAGAGAGAGAGGGAGUAAGAAUGAGAGAUAGAGGAAGUAAGAAUGAGAGAGAGGGAGAGCAGAGAGAGGGAGUAAGAAGGAGAGAGAGAGGGAGAGAGAGAGAGAGUAAGAAGGAGGGAGAGCAGAGAGAGAGAGAGUGCGUAAGAAGGAGAGUGAGAGGGAGAGAGAGAGGGAGUAAGAAGGAGAGAGAGGGAGAGAGAGAGAGGGAGAGAGAGUAA
rnacentral:lncRNA from 1 species